rnacentral:rRNA from 1 species
CUUAAAUGAAUUGACGGGGGCCCGCACAAGCGGUGGAGCAUGUGGUUUAAUUCGAUGCAACGCGAAGAACCUUACCUACUCUUGACAUCCAGAGAACUUAGCAGAGAUGCUUUGGUGCCUUCGGGAACUCUGAGACAGGUGCUGCAUGGCUGUCGUCAGCUCGUGUUGUGAAAUGUUGGGUUAAGUCCCGUAACGAGCGCAACCCUUGUCCUUAGUUACCAGCACGUUAUGGUGGGCACUCUAAGGAGACUGCCGGUGACAAACCGGAGGAAGGUGGGGAUGACGUCAAGUCAUCAUGGCCCUUACGGCCAGGGCUACACACGUGCUACAAUGGUCGGUACAAAGGGUUGCCAAGCCGCGAGGUGGAGCUAAUCCCAUAAAACCGAUCGUAGUCCGGAUCGCAGUCUGCAACUCGACUGCGUGAAGUCGGAAUCGCUAGUAAUCGUGAAUCAGAAUGUCACGGUGAAUACGUUCCCGGGCCUUGUACACACCGCCCGUCACACCAUGGGAGUGGGUUGCUCCAGAAGUAGCUAGUCUAACCGCAAGGGGGACGGUUACCACGGAGUGAUUCAUGACUGGGGUGAAGUCGUAACAAGGUAG